UCGGUGUGAGGAGAUGAGAGCGGGAGGAACGACGGGGGAGUUGGAGAUCUGUGUCAGGGUCUGGGCUCACAGAACCGCUGAGAUACGGACAUACCCUGGAGAAGCCAACGCGGGGCCUCCGAACUAAUGAAGGGACUGGGGACACCCUCCUGUGAGAGGGGCUGAGGGAGCGCGGCCUGAAGGAGCCCGAGGGGUUCGUCACUGUGUAGAAGGGCUUGAAAGGAGAUGAGGGAACGUAGAGCCGCGCUGCUGGCUGCGCUGCACAGAGCCACGGCUGGAGGCAGCUCGUGUCAAUGAACACCUGAGGUUCCCUUGGCCAUGAGCAGCACUGCUGUGUUACACUGUGAUGGACAGUGAGGCCAUAGGCUGUGUGGGCUUCAGCAUGGAGAUCUCCAAAGCCAGCCACACGUGGAGCUGGGUACCAGCACCGUGUCCCAGAGCAGAGCACUGAGAGGCCUCUUCAAAUCUCAGCCAUUGUGUGAGGAGCAGAGCAGGACAAAGCUGUGACCACACUGUACCAAUCCCGGCUGAGGCUCUGGGAUCCCUGGGCGCUGCAGCUCCUUCAUUCUGACAUUAACAAACUGCCUGGAAGCCAGCGUAUCUGCUGUGCUGUCCAGCAGAUGGGCUGCAGCAGAGAAGGAAGGCAGAUCUUACUCCUGAAAGCAUUGAGGUAUGGAUCAAUAAGACGUAAAGCACAUCAAGAUAGGAGAUGACAGCACAGAACGAGGCUAAAAGUGGAGAAAGAGUCAGAAUCCUGCAAGACCUCAGCUUCCAGCUUCACCCCAGACCCAGGAACAAGUUUGAGACCGCUAAAGGACGUAAGACCCUGGAACACAAAUUCCUUUCUGAUAACGGAUCCUGACACCACCUCUCCAGCUGGAAGAGCUGGAAAGCUUCACGCCUCGUGUUGCAGGAGGCAACACCCGCCUGUGUGCUGCUGGAGGCUGGCUACAAGGCAAAGUAUCCUCCUGUAUUUAUUCCAAGAUAAAAACAGCAUUAUGCACAAAUCCCAGAUGGAUUUCUUUUCCUUUUUAUUUAGGAAGAAGGCAGGAUUAUUUGUGGGUUCCCCCCCAUCUGGUACAGAUUCACAGGCAGUAAGAAUGAGUUUUGUUUCCAAUACAUGUGUUGGUUCGAAAUCCCAGGAAGAAAAAACUCCAUCUCAAGAAGCCACACGUCAGUUCCCAUUCCUGGCAUCACCAGACACAGCACAAAAACACCCAAACAAAGAAGGAUCCAAGGCAUACAUUGUUUCACAGAAUUUACAUGUUAAAAGGACAAGUAGAAAUAUUACAAAAAUCAACAGAAUCACUUUUAAAAUAUUUGUAUUUGUUGAACCGUUAAAAACAGACACGGAAAGAGGUAGCAAAGCUAACAACUUCCUGCUGCUCUAAUUAGUGUUGCCUGCAUGCACUGAGAAAGUUACUGUGGAAUUGAAUCUUGAAAUCUUCUCUGGACAGGAUUGUAGACGAUUUGCAGUUUAUUUCUGAUAACGCUAUUUGACGUAGAGGCGAA